CCUACGGGAGGCAGCAGUGAGGAAUAUUGGUCAAUGGACGCAAGUCUGAACCAGCCAUGCCGCGUGCAGGAAGACGGCUCUAUGAGUUGUAAACUGCUUUUGUACGAGGGUAAACGCAGAUACGCGUAUCUGUCUGAAAGUAUCGUACGAAUAAGGAUCGGCUAACUCCGUGCCAGCAGCCGCGGUAAUACGGAGGAUUCAAGCGUUAUCCGGAUUUAUUGGGGUUAAAGGGUGCGUAGGCGGUCGGAUAAGUUAGAGGUGAAAUCCCGAGGCUCAACUUCGGAAUUGCCUCUGAUACUGUUCGGCUAGAGAGUAGUUGCGGUAGGCGGAAUGUAUGGUGUAGCGGUGAAAUGCUUAGAGAUCAUACAGAACACCGAUUGCGAAGGCAGCUUACCAGGCUACUUCUGACGUUGAGGCACGAAAGCGUGGGGAGCGAACAGGAUUAGAUACCCUAGUAGUC
rnacentral:rRNA from 1 species